rnacentral:snRNA from 1 species
AUACUCUGGUUUCUCUUCAGAUCACAUAAAUCUUUUGCCUUUUACUAAAUAUUUCCAUGGAGAGGAACAAUUCUGAGUUGUUUUUUUAAUAUUUAAAAAAUAUAUUUAUUUAUUC